GACGAACGCUGGCGGCGUGCCUAAUACAUGCAAGUAGAACGCUGAAGGAGGAGCUUGCUUCUCUGGAUGAGUUGCGAACGGGUGAGUAACGCGUAGGUAACCUGCCUGGUAGCGGGGGAUAACUAUUGGAAACGAUAGCUAAUACCGCAUAAGAGUAUAUGUUGCAUGACAUUUGCUUAAAAGGUGCAAUUGCAUCACUACCAGAUGGACCUGCGUUGUAUUAGCUAGUUGGUGGGGUAACGGCUCACCAAGGCGACGAUACAUAGCCGACCUGAGAGGGGGAUCGGCCAAACUGGGACUGGGACACGGCCCAAACUCCUACGGGAGGGAGCAGUAGGGAAUCUUCGGCAAUUGACGGAAGUCUGACCGAGCAACGCCGCGGGAGUGAAGAAGGUUUUCGGAUCGUAAAGAUCUGUUGUAAGGGAAGAAAGAGUGUGAGAGUGGAAAGUGCACACUGUGACGGUAUCUUACCAGAAAGGGACGGCUAACUACGUG
rnacentral:rRNA from 1 species